UACAGAGGGUGCAAGCGUUGCUCGGAAUGACUGGGCGUAAAGGGCGCGUAGGCGGACGGCUUCGUCGGGCGUGAAAUUCCAGGGCUUAACCUUGGGGCUGCGUUCGAGACGGGUUGUCUAGAGUUUGGAAGAGGGUCGUGGAAUUCCCAGUGUAGAGGUGAAAUUCGUAGAUAUUGGGAAGAACACCGGUGGCGAAGGCGGCGACCUGGUCCUUGACUGACGCUGAGGCGCGAAAGCGUGGGGAGCAAACAGG
rnacentral:rRNA from 1 species